rnacentral:sRNA from 1 species
AUAACAUCUAUUUGCACCGAGUAUGGAGGGUCUAAUGGAUUACGCAGUGUGUCCUGUCUUAGUGAUGACGAAGUGUGGACGCGUGGUCAGGACAACAUGAUGAGACUCUACAACCUAAAUGGAGAGCUUGUGAAGUCAAUCCAAACCAGGUCAGGGGAGACGCCAUAUGACAUAGCAGUAAAUCAGAAUGGUGAACUUGUUUACACUGAUUACCAUGCUGAGACAGUGGACGUAGUGAAUAAUACACAGAUACAGACAGUGAUCAGACUACUCGGGUGGAAACCCUUCAAUGUCUGCAGUACCUCCUCUGGUGACCUCCUGGUUGUCGUGUACAAUGAUAAUAGGAAAGAAACAAAAGUUGUUCGUUACUCGGGCUCCACAGAAAAACAAUCUUUUCAAUUCAAUGACAACGGAAAACCUCUAUAUUCAUCUGAACUUGGUCCCAAAUACAUCAGUGAAAACAAGAACUUAGAUAUCUGUGUAGCUGACAAUUAUGCCCGUGAAUUAGUGGUGGUCAAUCAGGCCGGGAAACUCAAGUUUACAUACUCUGGUCCUCCCUCUACUACACCAAAACCGUUCCUUCCAACUGGUAUCAGUACAGACAGCCUGAGUCAGAUCCUUGCAGCAGACUAUAACAACCAGAAUAUACACGUUCUGGAUCAGGACGGACAGUUUCUCGGCUACAUUAACAACUUUCAUUUACACCAUCCAUUUGGUUUAUGUAUGGACACAAAAGACAACCUUUUUGUGGCUGAGGUAUACACAGGAAGAGUGAAGAAAAUCUAACGUAGCACAGUCAUAAUCAAUGUACGUUUUCAACUAACAGUAUAUAAUAAUCAAUUUGAAACAUUUUUGCUUAUAUAUUGACCGAAUGCGUUUAUUGCUAGUUAUUUCUUGUCAACAAUAGUAUGUGCAAUGGAGUUGUACACACUAAAACUG